GUAGUACUUAUUUAAGAAUUUGCUUUAGCUUUUUUUAACUUCAUGGAUUAAUGCUCUUUAUGUUACCCUCCUGUGGGCUAUUUAAGGACUCACCCCUUUAUGUGCUGUUUUCCAUCUUUAUGAAGCCGGAGCUGAAGCUGGCGUGUGAGGGUUUCUCCAUAAAUAUUGCUCGCAUCUACCUGGCCUUGGUGAAGCCCCCAUGAACGUCAUGGUUUGUCUUGAAAAACUGGUGGGUGAAGUGUUGGGCCAUGAAGGCAAACAUC